rnacentral:rRNA from 1 species
CACAAGCAGUGAGUAUGUGGUUAAUUCGACGCAACGCGAAGAACCUUACCAGGGCUUGACAUCGUCUGAUCGCUGUAGAGAUACAGUUUUCCCUUCGGGGACAGAUAGACAGGUGGUGCAUGGUUGUCGUCAGCUCGUGUCGUGAGAUGUUGGGUUAAGUCCCGCAACGAGCGCAACCCCUAUUAUUAGUUGCCAGCAUUUAGUUGGGCACUCUAGUGAGACUGCCGUUGACAAAACGGAGGAAGGUGGGGACGACGUCAAAUCAUCAUGCCCCUUAUGUCCUGGGCUACACACGUACUACAAUGGCAACAACAGAGGGCAGCCAGGCCGCGAGGUUGAGCGAAUCCCAAAAUGUUGUCUCAGUUCAGAUUGCAGGCUGCAACUCGCCUGCAUGAAGUCGGAAUUGCUAGUAAUGGCAGGUCAGCAUACUGCCGUGAAUACGUUCCCGGGCCUU